rnacentral:rRNA from 1 species
CCUACGGGUGGCAGCAGUGAGGAAUAUUGGUCAAUGGACGAGAGUCUGAACCAGCAAAGUAGCGUGAAGGAUGACUGCCCUAUGGGUUGUAAACUCCUUUUAUAUGGGAGUAAAAUGUUCCACGUGUGGGAGUUUGUAUGUACCAUAUGAAUAAGGAUCGGCUAACUCCGUGCCAGCAGCCGCGGGAAUACGGAGGAUCCGAGCGUUAUCCGGAUUUAUUGGGUUUAAAGGGAGAGUAGGUGGAUUGUUAAGUCAGUUGUGAAAGUUUGCGGCUCAACCUGAAAAUUGCAGUUGAAACUGGCAGUCUUGAGUACAGUAGAGGUUGGCGGAAUUCCUGGUGUAGCGGUGAAAUGCUUAGAUAUCCGGAAGAACACCGGUGGCGAAGGCAGCUCACUGGACUGCAACUGACACUGAGGCUCGAAAGUGUGGGUAGCAAACAGGAUUAGAUACCCGAGUAGUC